rnacentral:rRNA from 1 species
AAGUCGAGGGGCAGCAUGGUCUUAGCUUGCUAAGACUGAUGGCGACCGGCGCACGGGUGAGUAACGCGUAUCCAACCUGCCCCACACUAAGGGAUAACCCGCAGAAAUGUGGACUAAUACCUUAUAUUUUCCACCAAGGGCAUCGUCGAUGGAACAAAGAUUUAUCGGUAUGGGAUGGGGAUGCGUCCGAUUAGGUUGUUGGCGGGGUAACGGCCCACCAAGCCUUCGAUCGGUAGGGGUUCUGAGAGGAAGGUCCCCACAUAGGAACUGAGACACGGUCCUAACUCC